AACCGCACCAGAAGCUCGAUGGGCCUGCAUGAAACCAUUAUUACCCACAACAAAGUUAUUUUCUCCAAGCCUCCGCCCAACCCUGUCCAACAUGUAAACUAGCGUGUUCACGUAUGCCAAACCAACCAAAGCACAGACGAGGUCAGCAAA
rnacentral:sRNA from 13 species